CAAGUACUCCCUCCGUCCGGAAUUACUUGUCAUCAAAAUGGAUGUGUCUAGAACUAAAAGACAUCUAGAUACAUCCAUUUCAAUGACAAGUAUUUUCAGAUGGAGGGAGUACAAG
rfam:Triticum aestivum genome assembly, contig: Triticum_aestivum_CS42_TGACv1_scaffold_193625_3AL